CCUACGGGAGGCAGCAGUAGGGAAUAUUGCUCAAUGGGGGAAACCCUGAAGCAGCAACGCCGCGUGGAGGAUGAAGGUUUUCGGAUUGUAAACCCCUUUUGGUAGAGAAGAUAAUGACGGUAUCUAACGAAUAAGCACCGGCUAACUCAGUGCCAGCAGCCGCGGUAAUACGGAGGGUGCAAGCGUUACUCGGAAUCACUGGGCGUAAAGAGCGCGUAGGCGGGAAAGCAAGUCAGAUGUGAAAUCCUAGGGCUUAACCAUAGAACUGCAUUUGAAACUGUUAUUCUAGAGUAUGGGAGAGGUAAGUGGAAUUCUUGGUGUAGGGGUAAAAUCCGUAGAGAUCAAGAGGAAUACUCGUUGCGAAGGCGACCUGCUAGAACGUAACUGACGCUGAUGCGCGAAAGCGUGGGGAGCAAACAGGAUUAGAUACCCGUGUAGUC
rnacentral:rRNA from 1 species